CGAUGAUGAGGAGUCCCACAAUAGGACGAAACGACCGUUCAGUGC
rnacentral:hammerhead_ribozyme from 1 species